GGCUGGUCCGAAGGUAGUGAGUCACUAUCUCAAUUGAUUGUUCACAGUCAGUUACAGAUCGAAGUCCUUGUUCUACUCUCCCCUCUUCUCACUACUGCACUUGACUAGUCUUAA
rnacentral:Y_RNA from 1 species